rnacentral:lncRNA from 1 species
UCUCCAGCAAUAGCCUAUCAGGUAGUUUGCCUAAUGAUAUGUGUCAACAUCUUCCCAAGCUUGAAGGGCUUCACCUGAGUUGGAAUGAAUUAUCUGGUAACAUUCCAUUUGGCAUGGGCAAAUGCAACAACCUUAAAAAUUUGUAUUUGUCUUUGUCUUAUAAUCAAUUUACGGGGAUCAUUCCAAGAAGUUUUGGAAAUCUAACACGGCUCCAAUUAUUAUUUUUGGGGUUUAAUAAUCUAGAAGGUAAUCAAUUUCCUUGAUUUCUUGAAUUUAAAGUUUUUUUUUUUUAUAAAAGAGUUUGAUUUGUAAUAGAUAACAAAAGGAAAAACUUUUUAUUUCAUUUGAUGAAAAAUAUAUGCUGAAAUAUAUUAAAAUCUAACAUCUCCAAAUUACUGUAGAACAAAAAAGAAAAACCUCUUUGACUUAUGCUAACAAAAUAGGUAGUUUGACACCUUAAUUUUUCGACUAUGUGUGCAGGUCAAAUUCCUGAGGAAAUCGGUAAUCUUCUUGGUUUGGAAAUGCUUAGUAUUACAGCAAUUAAAGGCCUUACAGAUCAGAUUCCAACUUCGAUCUUCAACAUUUCUUCUCUAAAGACCGUUGAUCUCUCCAACAAUAGCCUAUCAGGUAGUUUGCCGAAUGAUAUAUGUCAACAUCUUCCCAAGCUUGAAGUGCUUUAUCUGGGUUGGAAUGAAUUAUCUGGUAAUAUUUUUUUCACAAAAGAGUUUGAUUUGUAAUAGAUAACAAAAGUAAGAGCAUUUUAUUUCAUUCAAGGCAAAAUAGUUAAUUUGAUGGAAAAAAAAUAUGCUUAAAGUAUUUUUAGUUGAACAGUUUAGAAGGUAUGUUUUUCACUUCUAUUUUCGACUAUGUGUGCAGGUCAGAUUCCAUCAAGUAUUUUUAAUUCAACUACGCUCGAAGCAAUAGAUCUAUUUAACAACAAACUAGAAGGUAUGUUUGUCACUUUAAUUUUUUCCAAACUCCAAAAACAUUGUGUUGAAUUUGUUUCUUCUAUUUAUGCCAUAUACUUUUAUCAUUUUAAUCUGAUAAUAAACAAUAAGAUUUAUAUGAAUUGACUUAUUUUUAAUUUUUUAAUUUCCAUUAAACUUUAAAAAAUAAAUUAUUUGAGGGUACUUUAGUUUUUUAUUUUAAAAAAUUAUGGUGAUAUUUGAAUCCACAUCAAUACAUAAAACCUUAAAUUUAUCACUUAAAUUUAUGAUGUCACAAAUUAACUCGAUACCAACUUAGGAAUUGACAACAACAUCAUCAUAAAUAACUGUAUUCAUUUAGUAUUCUUAAUUUGAUGUAUUCAUAUGUUUAAAUUAUGUUUUACUUACAGUUUAAUCUAUUUUUAUUUUAAUAUGGUAGAUAUGCCAUGUGUUAUUAUUAAAUAGUUUCAAAUUAUGCAUUUCAUUAUUUAUCAUAAGUUAUUUUAAAACACAAAUUUCUGUUCUAAAUAAGUGGUUCUCAUACACGAAUAUGUAUGAUAAAGUUUCUAAUUAUAAUUUAAGUAUAAAGUAAUUCAAUAUAAAUUUUAAAUUUUUAUUAUAUAUUUUUUAAAAUAAUAUUUUAAUAGAAUCAAAAUUGUUAUUUAUAAGGAUGCUAAAUUUUCUUAUGAAGUGAAUUUAUUUAACCAAAUAUUUUAGUAAAACCAAAAUUCUUAUCCAUACAUAUGAUAAAUCUUAAAAGUAAUAAAAACUAUAUAAAAUAAUAAAUUCAAUAAUAUAGUAAACAACAAAGACUAUAUAAUUAUCAGUUCAAAAAUUUCUCAAAAUCCAUACAUUUAUAUAUAUAUUAUAGAUAUAUUUUUAAUGGCUUAAUGCAUAGUUUAUUCCCUACAGCAUAUUCCUUUUUUUUUUUAACUUUGGCCCUUAAUGUUUUUUUGCCCACUUUAGUACCUACUAUUAUCAAACAUUCCUAGUGUAGUCUCUAACAUUAUCCGGUGUUCUUGGUUUAGUCCAUUGGACGUUAAAAAAAUAGAUUGAGAUAUCCAACUAACCAUAAAUUGCCAUGUGGCAUAUGACGACAUCAUGAUGGCAUCAUCAUCUAAAAAAAACCAAAAAAAUCUUUAAAAUUUCAAAUAAAAUUAUAAAAAAUAACUACAUUAUAAAUCUAUAAUUGUUUUAAAAAAUAAAAAUUUAUUAAUUUUUAAAUUUGUAAUAAAUAAUAAAAUUAUUAAAAAUUGUUAGAAAUGUUUAAAUAUUGUAAAAAUUUAUAAAAAUUUAUUAGAAAUUAUAAAAGACGAUAAAAAUUAAAAAAAAGAGUUAAAAACUAGUAAAAAUUGUGUAACUUGAAAUAAAGUAUAUAUUCGCUAAUAUUUUUAAAAAAAAAUUAAAAAUUUGAUAUUAAAAUUGUAUAUUGUGGUACAAUCAAUUUUUAUAAAAAAAUAUUUUAGUAAAUUUUUAAUAUUUUAAAAUAUAUCAAAUUUUAGUACUUUACCAACUCCCCAAUUCAUAAAUAGGAGGAUAAUGCAAUUCAACAUACUUGAAUCCACAUUCUCCUAUAUUGGCAACAAUGCACAUGCCAAUCAGUCUAAGACUUAAUCGAUAAUUCUUUAGAAUAAUUAAAUAUGCAACAAUAGUUCUUAAGAUAUUGGUCUAGACACAAAUAAUUUAUCUUGAAAUAGUAAAACAAUAUUUGGAAUAAUUAAAAACAUAGAUAUCAAGUUUUUUUUUUUAUUUUUCAAAAUGCCAUACUAACACAAAAACUUUUUAACAGUGUUAAUAAAUGAACCUAAAAUUUUCAAUUCAAAAAGUAGAGAGACUAAAUCACAGAAAAUAAAAAAUAUAAAGAUUAAAUUUCAAAUAUAUGAAAAAUACAAAAAUUUUGAGCGAAUAAUAAUCUUUAAAUUUUACAGUAUAAUUUAAUAUAAAUAAAUAAUUAACCCAAUAGAUAAAAAUCAUACCAGUUUACAUUAAAAACAAUGGCUUUAACAUUUUUGUUUCCCAAAUCAUAACUAAUUAUUAUUCAGUGUCAGUCUCAUUUUUAAGAUUGAUUAGAUGCCACAUUCUCAUGCCAAACUUUUAUUUUUAUUUUUUUUCAAGUUUUACAAUAUUUUAAAAAUUUAUUAGUGUAUUAUAGGUUUUGUCUAUACAAAUCACAAGGACUAAUUACUACUCAAAACUUCUUAUUAUGUCUCAACUUUCUAAUUGAUUUCAUCACAUUUUUCCAUGCCAAAAUUUUAUUCUUAAUUGAUUUAAAGUUUUACAGUUUUUAUUUUAAUGUAUUAUAUAUUUUGUGAAUUUGGUAUUCAAUGACUAUGUAUACUAAAAGAUGCUAUUUUACAGGUAAUUUACCGCCCAUCACCAAUGUUCCAAAGCUAGAGUUUCUUUUUUUGUGGGGAAAUAAACUCUAUCUCCAAUGCUUCCAUACUUAAGAUACUAGACUUGGGAGAUAACUUAUUCUCUGGCCCAAUCCCCAAAACGCUUGUCAACUUAAGACACCUUGAACCAGGGAUUCAAAUAGCGGUCCGAUAUCAGAAUAGCGGCCGUUAUAUAGCGGUAGCGGCACCGUCUGAAACCGCUUUUGCUAAAAAUAGCGGUGUGAAGCGGAGUCACGCCAAUAGCGGUGGGUCGCGGCCGCAAUUUACCGCGUAACGGCCAAUUGAGGCAAUAACGGGCCGCUAUUCCCGUUAUUUUUCGUUACAGUAAAUUAAAAAAAAGUCAUCCCCUCAAACAAAAAUAUCAACAAAAACAGUGAAAAACAAAAGGGAAUAUAUUCCCCUACCUGCAAAGUGCAAAAUCAGAGAGCUUUCAAUCAAAAAAAGUAAAAAGAAGUCAAAAAAAAAAACAGAAAAAAGUAAUCAAAAGUUUCAAAACUCAAAAGCAAUAGAAAAAGAAAUAUGAAAUUCUGUUUCUUAUAUAUGGGCAAACAACAAGUAGCAGAUGAAAUGAAAGCAAGGAGGAGCUGACUGCCGAGGACUUGAAUCUGAAAAGCAAGCCCUGCCGGCCUGCCCUAAUCACUUGCACAUUCAGACUUCAGAGAUCGAUAAUUUUCAAGUAAGUAGUACCUGAAAUUUUGUCUUGAUUUUUGCUUAUUUGUCUUGAAUCUGCAGUGCAGUGCAAAUAUGUUCUUUAGAAUUGACUAUUGAGGACACCAUUUGAAGUUUGAAGUUUCAACAACAGUAGAGAUAGAGAUUCGACCAUUUUUGUUGAGAUGAGUUGGAGGCUUUUGGAGCCUUGGAGGCUACUGGUUAGGGUGUUACUUGUUAGGGUUAGGGAAUAGAUUAGAAAGAAAAGAAUCGUUUCAUUUUCUUUUAUUUUUUCUGUUUUUUGUUUUGGAUUGUGGCUUUAUUGAUUUGGCAAUUGGCAUGCUGAUGAGCUGCUCUGUUUUGUUUCUUCUUUGACUCUUAUUUUACUCAUUAAUUAGGGGCAGCCACCGUCCAUUUUAACCACUAGAAAAUAGGCAUGUAAAUUGUGCUUUUAUCCACCUGUCAAUUGUUAAAAAUUGUCUUAAAAUAAUUAUUAGAAAAUUUCUUUAUUAAAUUUAAAAAUACAUAUAUAAAUUUCUGGACACAAUUUUUAAUAUGACAUGUACUUUAUAGUUAAUUUUCCCCUUAAGUCCCUUGAGUAAAUAUAAAUG